rnacentral:lncRNA from 10 species
GUGCAGAGUAUAUGGAUAUUUUGCCCCCAGAAGAUUGGACGAUGACUGCCUGCAUUGGUGAGCAAUCUUACUGUCUAUUGACUUAAAUUCUAAUCUUCUGGAAGCGCUCUCACAGACAGAAAUAACGUUUUACCAACUAUCUAGGUAUGAUUUAACACAGUUACACCAACAUAAAAUUAACCAUAACAAUUCCUUAAAAUUAAGAUAUUUAUGAACAUAUUAGGCCUUUAAUGUCAAGGUCUAUGUUAUGUACUGCUAUUUUUAUUCCCC